rnacentral:lncRNA from 10 species
UGUUUUUUGAGAUUACCUCAUGGGGAAGGCGUAACUGCCUAAUCAUAAUAAAAGUCUUCCUUCCUAUGUUUAUAAAACUGACAGAUGUGGUUUCCAGAAAGUCAGAUAAUUUAGAAGUCGAGAAAAAGACAAAACUAAAUGGAACUCUAAACUAUAACUAAACUGUGACCCCUCUUAAGCUCUUUACUUUGGACUUCCUGGAUCUUUCCAAUACUGUACAUUUGAAUCCCUAAUGGUGAGAAGAUCAACUUCUAUUAUUUUUUCUGGAGAAGACAUAUAACCCAUCCAGAUUUGAGGUCAGACAGUUAAAUGUCUUUUUGUAUGUAUGUAUGUAUGUAUUUACUUAUUUAUUUAUUUAUUUGCUCAUUUAUUUUUUGAGACAGGGUCUCGCUCUGUCACCCAGGCUGGAGUGCAGUGGCGUGAUCUCAGCCUACUGCAAACUCUACCUCCUUGGUUGAAGAGAUUCUCCUGCCUCAUCCUCCCAUGUAGCUGGGAUUACAGGUGUGCACC